rnacentral:rRNA from 1 species
CAGUAGCGGGGGAUAACUACUCGAAAGAGUGGCUAAUACCGCAUACGCCCUACGGGGGAAAGGGGGGGAUCGCAAGACCUCUCACUAUUGGAGCGGCCGAUAUCGGAUUAGCUAGUUGGUGGGGUAAAGGCUCACCAAGGCAACGAUCCGUAGCUGGUUUGAGAGGACGACCAGCACACUGGGACUGAGACACGGCCCAGACUCCUACGGGAGGCAGCAGUGGGGAAUUUUGGACAAUGGGGGAAACCCUGAUCCAGCCAUCCCGCGUGUAUGAUGAAGGCCUUCGGGUUGUAAAGUACUUUUGGCAGAGAAGAAAAGGUAUCUCCUAAUACGAGAUACUGCUGACGGUAUCUGCAGAAUAAGCACCGGCUAACUACGUGCCAGCAGCCGCGGUAAUACGUAGGGUGCAAGCGUUAAUCGGAAUUACUGGGCGUAAAGCGUGUGUAGGCGGUUCGGAAAGAAAGAUGUGAAAUCCCAGGGCUCAACCUUGGAACUGCAUUUUUAACUGCCGAGCUAGAGUAUGUCAGAGGGGGGUAGAAUUCCACGUGUAGCAGUGAAAUGCGUAGAUAUGUGGAGGAAUACCGAUGGCGAAGGCAGCCCCCUGGGAUAAUACUGACGCUCAGAC